GUGCUUGCUACAGCAGCACGUAUACUAAAGUUGGAAUGAUAUAGAGAAGGUUAGCAUGGCUCCUGCACAAGGAUGACCCACACACAUUUAUAAAGUGUUCUUACUGUGU